rnacentral:rRNA from 1 species
GAACCGCGUGAAGGAUCAUUAUUGAGAGGGGUCCUUAGGACCCCGGGGGCUUCGGCCCCUAACUCUUCACCCGGUGUCUACCUACCUUUGUUGCUUUGGCGGGCCUUGGGGUUCGCCCCAUCCCGGCCACGGGCCUCGCAGCCCGGGCCAGGCCGUGCCCGUCAGGGGUCCAUCAAACUCUGUUUACCAGUGCUGUCCGAGCGAAAACCACAAUAGUAAAAACUUUCAACAACGGAUCUCUUGGUUCUGGCAUCGAUGAAGAACGCAGCGAAAUGCGAUAAGUAAUGUGAAUUGCAGAAUUCAGUGAAUCAUCGAAUCUUUGAACGCACAUUGCGCCCCUCGGUAUUCCGGGGGGCAUGCCUGUUCGAGCGUCAUUGCACCCCUCAAGCUCCGCUUGGUAUUAGGCCGACGCCCCCGCGGCGGGCCGGAAAUCCAGUGGCGGUCCGGCGUAACUUCGAGCGUAGUAAAGUUCCUUUCGCUUUGGAAGCUCACGCUGCGGCCGGCCAGAACGCCCCCAGUUAUCAUCAUCAAUUGACCUCGGAUCAGGUAGGGAUACCCGCUGAACUUAA